AGGAGAAUAGUUAAAAAUAACAUUUAAAUUGCAAUUAAAAAGUACCCAAAAGUUUCUCUUA
rnacentral:tRNA from 1 species